GUACCCGUAGCUCAGUGGAUAGAGCGACAGAUUGCGGAUCUGUAGGUCGUAGGUUCAACUCCUAUCGGGUACACCA
rnacentral:tRNA from 1 species